rnacentral:rRNA from 1 species
GAUGAACGCUGGCGGCGUGCCUAAUACAUGCAAGUCGAGCGAACAGACGAGGAGCUUGCUCCUCUGACGUUAGCGUCGGACGUGUGAGUAACACGUGGAUAACCUACCUAUAAGACUGGGAUAACUUCGGGAAACCGGGCUAAUACCGGAUAAUAUAUUGAACCGCAUGGUUCAAUAGUGAAAGACGGUUUUGCUGUCACUUAUAGAUGGAUCCGCGCCGCAUUAGCUAGUUGGUAAGGUAACGGCUUACCAAGGCGACGAUGCGUAGCCGACCUGAGAGGGUGAUCGGCCACACUGGAACUGAGACACGGUCCAGACUCCUGCGGGAGGCAGCAGUAGGGAAUCUUCCGCAAUGGGCGAAAGCCUGACGGAGCAACGCCGCGUGAGUGAUGAAGGUCUUCGGAUCGUAAAACUCUGUUAUUAGGGAAGAACAAAUGUGUAAGUAACUAUGCACGUCUUGACGGUACCUAAUCAGAAAGCCACGGCUAACUACGUG